CUGGGUCUUCCCCCUCUGAGAGUUUUGUCUGGGGAGAACCUGAGGCAAAGACUACUUCCAACUCUUGAGUCUUUAGGUCUCCAAAAAUAGAGACUUAGAAAGAAUACACAGCGAAGACUUGCUAAUGCAACAUCUGCUGUGCUCAUUUGAUUUCUCUGCAUUCAUGACUCUUCCAGUUUUUCCAUCGCUGGCCUGUGGGAGAAGGAUCUGUACCCUCAGUGGAUGAACUGCUGAAAUGUUGAGACUUCUAACCAAAAGGUGUAUCCCCUCUACCUUAUCUGACAACCAGCUGAGACGUCAUGAACAAAAAAGAUAAGGCUUUGGAAAGGCAGAGUCUAUGGUAGCAGGUAAGUGCCUAACGCACAAGAAGCCAAUUUUAAUACAAAUUGAAGAAAAU
rnacentral:lncRNA from 1 species